rnacentral:rRNA from 1 species
AGUGAACGCUGGCGGUAGGCCUAACAAAUGCAAGUCGAACGGCAGCACAGUAAGAGCUUGCGCUUACGGGUGGCGAGGGGAGGACGGGUGAGGAAUACAUCGGAAGCUACUAUUUCGUGGAGGAUAACGUAGGGAAACAUACGGUAAUAUCGCAUACGACAUCCGUAUUCACACCGGGGAGCAUGGCACCUUCAGCAGUAUAAUGUGACGAUGUGGGAUUAGCUAGUUGGCGGUGUAAAGGCCAACCAAGGCGACGAUCCGUAGCUGGUCUGCGAGAAUGAUCAGCCACACUGGAACUGAGACACGGUCCAGACUCCUACGGGAGGCAGCAGUGGGGAAGAUUGGACAAUGGGCGCAAGCCUGAUCCAGCCAUACCGCGUGGGUGAAGAAGGCCUUCGGGUUGUAAAGCCCUUUUGUUGGGAAAGAAAAGCAGCAGGUUAAUACCCCGCUGUGCUGACGGUACCCAAAGAAUAAGCACCGGCUAACUUCGUG